UGAGGAAUUUUCCGCAAUGGGCGAAAGCCUGACGGAGCGACGCCGCGUGUGUGAUGAAGUCUUUCGGGAUGUAAAACACUGUCAGCAGGAAAGAUAUUGACGGUACCUGCAGAGGAAGGCCCGGCUAACUACGUGCCAGCAGCCGCGGUAAUACGUAGGGGCCAAGCGUUAUCCGGAAUUACUGGGCGUAAAGCGCUUGUAGGUGGUUUUAUAAGUCGGAUGUAAAAGGUAUCGGCUCAACCGAUAUUCGGCAUCUGAUACUGUAUAACUUGAGAGUUGGAGAGGAAAGCGGAAUUUCCGGUGUAGCGGUGAAAUGCGUAGAUAUCGGAAGGAACACCAAUGGCGAAGGCAGCUUUCUGGCCAAUUUCUGACACUGAGAAGCGAAAGCUAGGGGAGCAAACAGG
rnacentral:rRNA from 1 species